CUGGAAAAGGUGCAGAGGAAGAGCGCUAGGAGACAGUGUUGUAGUUAGGGAUUAUUGUGGAGUUCUCAGGGUACAAGACAACAGUCAGGACAACUGCCCCUCCUCGUCAUCCCAGCCUGUCCUUCUCAAAGACCCCGUACAGAGCCACUGCAGCACUCUAGUUGUGUGAGUGUGAUUUGCCCAUUACUUUGAGAUUUCUAAAAAUCCAGGCUCCAUCCACUGAAGAAUUCAAAGGAUCACUGAUGGAGGAAUGAUGGCAGUAGAAUCACCUGCAUGCAUCAGCUGCGUGGAAACACCCAAGUGUGUACAGGGAUAUCAAACCAAGUCCUAUGCACGUUCGAGGUAAUACAUGAGCAGGAUCUGCUCCCAGUCCUGAACCUCUUUGAACGGUGACCAUACAAUUUUUUUUCACCUAAGCUCUGGGAGAAGAUCCCUGCUCAGCCAAGUUGGCUUUCUGCCCCACCUGCAUGACUUUGGACGUUAUGGAAUUGCUUGGUAAGAAGUGGUACUUUAAAAGUGACCAGCACUGGUGGACUCCAAUGCCUUCAGAAGCAGUUUUCCUAGGGAACUUACCAAAUAGUUCCCCGAGCAGCAUGAAGUCUGAUUUCCCCAUAUCCAAUGUUACUGUGGCUCUUUUUCUCCUAUCACCAAGGACUAUAUGUUCACCAAUCUCAUGGUCACUAUAGCCAAGACAGCCUCCACGCACCAUUUCACCCACGAGACCUUCUCUGCUUACAAGCAACAAAUCUAUGAGGCACCUUUCCUAGUUGACUCCCUUGGUAUCUGUAGCAAGAAGUACUACCAAAGACAUAAAAAUAUUUGUCUCUCUGGAAGAUCUCAGUCUUAUCCAUGAAAUCUCCCUCUUUUUUCUACUGGUCUGAAGCACACACUGAUAUUGAACAUUUCAGGAACUCCUCCAACCUUUGUGAAACAGUUGAAUUUACUAUGUGCAGAUUAUAAAUGACAUCAAUUUUGAAGGGUCAAGGUAUGAAAUAUGAUGUUGUUGCAAUACAUUUACUGUACCCACUAACUCUCACCAUCUGUACAUCACAGACAUCACUGAACUAGCACAUUUUCUCUGAAAAAAAAGAAGAAAGAUCUUCAAAAUACAGUAUUUUCUCAGAAUCUUGCAAGCUUUAGAAGUUUAUUCUCUUUCCAAGGAACAGUUACAAAAGAGGUAAGAUUUAAGGCCACAUCAGAGCUGGGUAAAUAACUUUUUGUGUAUAUGAACUCUGAGGGCACUGAAACUUGGGAACUUGGGGUAAUAUCCACUCAUAAAUUCAACCAGAAACAGAGAGUGGUGCAAAUAUAAAAAGCCACAAUAUUUAAGUUCCGUGUUGUCAUUUUCAAUGAAAUUACUUAAUUUGAAAGCACUGGAUAUUUUGCUACGAUAUCUUUUAAACAAAACAUUUGAAAUCAUGUUUUUAAAUACCACUCUUAACUACUGCUUGUUUAUCGUAAUAAAUUAAUCAAAACGUCUUUGAAAGGUUCCAAUAUGUACUUCCCCAAAUCCUCGGACUGUAUUUUUUCUCCUCUAAACAAAAAUCAUUGUUCUUCAGAUGACUUUCUCAUGGUGUGUAAUAUGCCGGGCUGCUGCUUGCACUACAGUUGGAUUUACUUUUUAGAACAUUUUCUGAAAUAUGCUUUAAAGAUAAUUCAUUUGACCUAAAUAUUAUCUAAAUCCCUGAGCCUGUUGCCUCCUAUUGGCCAGCCCAAGGCCCUCAGAGACAUCAAAAUCUUAACUGGAGAUUAACUUGUUUGAAGGUGGUCCUAGAUUUAUUGCAAUUCAUUACAUUGACCUAUAGAGUAUAUAUAGCAACUAAUACAGUACUUGACAUAUGUUUUUUUCUUGAUUGUUCGUACGGUUCAUUUGCACCUUUGCUAAGUGAAUAGGAAUAUUUAGAAGAAUAUUUUCUGAGAC
rnacentral:lncRNA from 1 species